rnacentral:rRNA from 1 species
CCCUUAGAUGUUCUGGGCCGCACGCGCGCUACACUGAUGCAUUCAACGAGUCUAAAACCUGCUCUGAUAGGGGUGGGUAAUCUUUUGAAUGUGCAUCGUGAUUGGGAUAGAUGAUUGCAAUUUUUCAUCUUCAACGAGGAAUGCCUAGUAAACGCAAGUCAUCAGCUUGCAUUGAUUACGUCCCUGCCCUUUGUACACACCGCCCUCGCUCCUGCCGAUUGAAUGAUCCGAUGAAUAUCAUGGAUUGAGGAUGCAAGCAGGUUCGCCUGUCUUCAUCUUCGAGAAGUGAAGUAAAUCUUAUCAUUUAGAGGAAGGAGAAGUCGUAACA